UGGAGACCUCAUCUUUUAUCUAACCUCUCUUUUUUCCAGUACAGCGUCAUUACCAUGGAGUUUCAGCUAACAAUGCUUGUUCCAUCUGUUUCCAUUUUGUCAUGAAAAUCAAAGGAGGUAGUGGAUGUGAAAUUUUACUGAUUACAUAUAUAGGAUCCAAAUAACAUGCAGUGACAAACCUCCUGCAUAUGGCUGAAUGCUAAGCCACCAGCUACUCCUGCCCUCACAUCUCACAACUUUGCUGCAAGAAAAAACAAAACAGAACAUCUUGGCUAAAACUGCCCACCUCCUUACCCCAAGCUUGAUGCCAGCUGAAGAGUCCCAGGAGACCAGUUGGCUUAGCCCGGGUCAGAGGCCCUGGAUGGGAGUGGAUGAUUGGUAGCCAUCAUUUGCACCUGAUGGUUAGAGUGUGAGAGAAGCAGUCUUCCUGAAGAAGAGAGGUGGUGUCCUCAGAAAAGAGGAAGGGUACAAGGUUGUGAAAGCAAUAAAUGCUCACGCAAAAGAGGGUUGACCCAAGGUCUGGCCUUCUUCUUGCCACUCUCUAGUGAGGGAGCCCUUAGGAAAUUGAUUAUGCUCUCUGUCAAGCGGCAAAAAUAAAACCUGCCCCUGCCUUACGUGGUGAUGUGAGGAACAGAUUACAGAAUAGAUUUAAAGUGGCCUUUCAAAGUUUAAAGUGCGAUACCAAUGAAAGGUAAACUAAGUUAUUCUGGUUCUCUCCCUGCAUUUGGUCAGUUCCUGUAACGCAAACCAUUCUAG
rnacentral:lncRNA from 10 species